CUAAGAAUAUUCCGCAAUGGACGAAAGUCUGACGGAGCGACGCCGCGUGGAUGAAGAAGGCCGAAAGGUUGUAAAAUCCUUUUGUUGGGGAAGAAUAACCAUGGGAGGGAAUGCCCGUGGGAUGACAUGAACCGACGAAUAAGUCCCGGCUAACUACGUGCCAGCAGCCGCGGUAACACGUAGGGGACAAGCGUUAUUCGGAAUUACUGGGCGUAAAGGGCAUGUAGGCGGCUUUGUAAGCCUGGCGUGAAAGUCCACAGCUCAACUGUGGGAUUGCGUCGGGAACUGCAGGGCUUGAGUCAUGGAGAGGAAGGUAGAAUUCCUGGUGUAGGGGUGAAAUCUGUAGAGAUCAGGAAGAAUACCAGUGGCGAAGGCGACCUUCUGGCCAAUGACUGACGCU
rnacentral:rRNA from 1 species